CGGCUUUCCAGGGGCUUGUGGGACUGCGCGCCGGCCGCCUGCAAGCGCCCUCUGCCCUCACUGAAUCCCUGCUAAAGCCACAGUUACUUUAUAGGACACAGUGGGCUGCAAAGUCACCAUUACUCGCGCGGCUCAUCCUCAGAAGGAGCAGCCGAGGGCCCGCAGGUGGCGGGGGCAGGGGAGACUCCAAAGGACUAAGCGCGGGCCGCGGCGAAGGCGCGCGCGGUCUGGGAGGAACCUGCUCGGCCAGCGCGGUGCGCGGGCCUCGGGGCUCAGGGCGCCACCUGCUGGCGGCUGGGUCGACGCCGCGAACCGGCCCAGAGGAGCCGAGGUGGUGCCGACCCGGGGAGCCCCUCUUUCCCCGCCAGGCUCCACGUUUACCGGCUCGGAAAGCCAUCCCACCCGAGGGCGCCGCGAAUUAGCGACCCAGCAUGUCCCAGCGCCGAGCUUUCGUUCUGGCCGACACCCGGGGGCCCAAAUGCAGGCGGAAAACAUAACGAGAUCCUGCCCAACAAACGAAAGGACUCCGUGGGAAUGGCAGGGUUGACAAGAAGCCUGGUGAAGACACCGCCCAGAUAUGACUUUCGGGAGAAAGAAAACCAAAUUCCAGGGAAUUUCCUGGCUGACCGGUGGUUAGGACUCAGUGCUCGCACUGCUGAGGAUGCAGGUUCAGUCCGUGGUCCUGAAAGUAAGAUCCCACAAGCUGCAUGGCAGAGCAGGAAGAAAAAAAUUCCCAUCUUCUACCAGUUUACUAUUAGUAACAAAGUUGAUUUACCUAAUUAAAUCCAUUCUAAUUUUAA
ensembl:lncRNA